AUUGGCUGUGCGCGGUCCCCCCGCCCGCGCCGCCAGCGCCGUUACCAGGGAGACGCUGUCCCGGGCACCGCCAGGCGGUUCUGGCGCCGAAAGAGGCCGCGGCCUGGCCCCAAAGCCAGCUGGAGGAGCGUCUGCACUGCAGAGAAACGCUGCAGCUCUGGACAGCCACCACGUCAAAAACCAGCAGCAAGCACUGGGACUGAAUCAACAGAAGGCACUCCCACCAGCUGGUAUGAAAAUACCUAAAAAUCUUUCAUCUUGUCACCAGGUUUUUUUUCCCUCCAUGAUCUACAAUUGUACUUUUGUGAGAGAACUUACUGUACACUGGUGUUUAUUUGCAGGUUUAUUGCUUUGUUCAUAUAUUUACCUGCUUCAGUGCAAUCCCUCGAGACUAACUAAAUUAAUGCUUCUGUGCAGGUUAUAACACACAGAAAUAAAUUAAACCUUUUUUGUGAAACAA